AUUUAGCCCCGAUGGCAAUAGCUACCGUGUAGCAUGGACAGCGGGAAUAUGG
rnacentral:sRNA from 1 species